rnacentral:rRNA from 1 species
UACGUAGGGUGCGAGCGUUGUCCGGAAUUAUUGGGCGUAAAGAGCUUGUAGGCGGUUUGUCGCGUCUGCUGUGAAAAUCCGGGGCUCAACCCCGGACUUGCAGUGGGUACGGGCAGACUAGAGUGUGGUAGGGGGAGACUGGAAUUCCUGGUGUAGCGGUGGAAUGCGCAGAUAUCAGGAGGAACACCGAUGGCGAAGGCAGAUCUCUGGGCCGUAACUGACGCUGAGGAGCGAAAAGCGUGGGGAGCGAACAGG